rnacentral:rRNA from 1 species
AACGAACGCUGGCGGCAGGCCUAAUACAUGCAAGUCGAACGCCGUAGCAAUACGGAGUGGCAGACGGGUGAGUAACACGUGGGAACGUGCCCAAAGGUACGGAACAACUCCGGGAAACUGGAGCUAAUACCGUAUGUGCCCGAAAGGGGAAAGAUUUAUCGCCUUUGGAUCGGCCCGCGUCUGAUUAGCUUGUUGGUGAGGUAAUGGCUCACCAAGGCGACGAUCAGUAGCUGGUCGGAGAGGAUGAUCAGCCACACUGGGACUGAGACACGGCCCAGACUCCUACGGGAGGCAGCAGUAGGGAAUAUUGGACAAUGGGCGAAAGCCUGAUCCAGCCAUGCCGCGUGAGUGAUGAAGGCCUUAGGGUUGUAAAGCUCUUUCGUCCGGGACGAUAAUGACGGUACCGGAAGAAGAAGCCCCGGCUAACUUCGUGCCAGCCGCCGCCGUAAUAC